rnacentral:other from 1 species
AUCCCUGCGGUGUGCGUGAAAUGAAUUUUAUUUUAACCGAUAUUUUUAGAAAGGAAUCCUAUCUCUGGCUGUGGCUGUAGACCAUGCAUAGACAAGGGAACAUUUAAGCAGUCAGGCGGAGUCCACCUGCUCGGCAGGUUAAAAAUAUGUUCAAAUAACGGCUCGGCGGGGUGU